UUUUAAAUGGCAGUGGGAGCUUUUGUUUGGGGGGCUUCCAAGAGUUCAUCAUGAAUGAAAGGACUUCUAUAAGCUUCCUAUAAAAUCAUUUAACAGAAAAUAUGUUCUAAAAGAAAUAAAACAUAUGAGUUCACUUUAGCAAAUCUGCAAAGCAAGCUUAAACAAAUCACUGUUUACUUAAUGGUUUACAUGUAAAUAAGUGCACAGCAGGGAGGUGUAAAAUUUUUUAAGUUCAAAAAAUAGCAGUGCAAUUUGGAAAAGAUGACAUGCCCUAAUUUUACCAUUCUGCUUCUAGCCAUUCAGUGGACAAACUUGGGUAUCUUUUCACAAAUCUAUACCACAUUUGGUCAAACUUUUACCUGCAUGCAUGUGUGUGCUUAUUUAUUUAUUUAUUUAUUAGAACUAUAAUUCGUUACAGAACUCUCACAGAUUGUGCUUAUAUAAUCAUAACAUAUGGAGUAAAGUUGAAAUGGAAAUUAGGACCUAUUUAACAACCUUUUGCACCUCCUUACAUCUAUUUCAUAGUCAUCCAACACUGACUCAGUUCAUCUUCAACACUCUUGAGCAUUUUAUCUACCAACAGUUUAUUCUUAAAGAGUCUACCUAGAUGGGAUUACGUAUCAUAUGUCAUAUCCAACAUGCUCAACAAACAUAC
rnacentral:misc_RNA from 1 species